GUACAUUUCUCUGAUUAGUUAUGAGAAGCCAUCUUAUGUAAAAUCUCUCCUCUCUCUUUAAAAAUUUUGUUGUAUAUAUAGCAUGAAGGAAACAAAAGGCUACUAAUUCUUAGUUAGACCUUUUCUAAUGUGUUUAACAUUGAGGCAAAUUGCCUGAUGGAAAAGAAAGAAUACUAAUUCUUAGUUAGAUCAUUUCUAAUGUGCUUAACUUUGAGGCAAAUUGCCUGAAGGUUUUUAAGCGAACAGUUUCAAGACAUCUUGAAACAUGGAAAACAUUUGAAAUGCAUUGAUGAUUUGUAGAUGUUGAACCCUUUCUCUUUUUAUAAUCAGAAAAUAGAUUGCUGAACUCACUUGCCACAAGUCAUUAUUGGAAACAAUCAAUUUUCAUACGAAGAGAAGCAAACUUUCACUGAAAGUGGGAUCAUCAUACAGUGCAUGGAAUGUUUAGACCCUGUCUGGCAUUGCUAUAAAAUUGUGCAUGUGAUUUAAGAACCUUGCUUGUAUGAUAUUGUGGCACCCAGCUAGGAUUGGCUGAGAAGUUUUCAUAUGGCCAUCCAUUUCUUUAUCUUGGAUUGAAAUGGCUUUAGUGGACCCAGCCACUAGGCUGGUUCCGGUUUCAAAACCGCUGGUUUUUAGUGAACCAGAACCGGAACCAUGAAACUCCCCAUAGUUCUGGUUCAGGUUCCGGUCUGGUUUCAGUUCCGGUUUGAUCUAGGUCCAAAUUGAAUGGUCAAGAAAUUUUUUUUUAAGUUUUUUUUUAAAUGAAAAAAGGGGGUUCGGGCCAGAAUUGUCUGUUCGGUUCUGGUUCAAUCUCGGUCCGGUUCAUUUAUGAGCCAAAGAUGGGUUUGAUUGGUUCCGGUCUAGUUUAAACCAAUCCGGUUCCUGUUUUGAACCGGUCCUUGGCCGGGUCUAGCUCUUAGUAUUUCACUGGGAGGGGAGAAACUCCAUUUAUGUUUAAAUCUUGUUACUUGCAUAGUUUUCGAUACUUG
rnacentral:misc_RNA from 1 species